rfam:Picea glauca, whole genome shotgun sequence.
CCAGCAAAGAGAUAGACAGUAGUACUGACGGAGCAAUUCCGCGUGAAGGCAAAAGGCCCACGGGUCAUGAACUUCUUUUCUUGGAGAAGAAACAAUGACAGUAUCUGAGGAAUAAGCAUCGGCUAACUCUGUGCCAGCAGCCGCGGUAAGACAGAGGAUGCAAGCGUUAUCCGGAAUGAUUGGGCGUAAAGCGUCUGUGGGUGGAUUUUCAAGUCCGCUGUCAAAUCCCAGGGCUCAACCCUGGACAGGCGGUGGAAACUACCAAGCUAGAGUACGGUAGGGGCAGAGGGAAUUUCCGGUGGAGCGGUGAAAUGCGUUGAGAUCGGAAAGAACACCAACGACGAAAGCACUCUGCUGGGCUGACAGUCAAAAAAUGGACAGGGAUAAAAAGAAUCAUCCAUGCAGAUGUGCGGAAGUGCUUUGACAACAUUGAGCAUUCCACACUAAUCAUAUUAUUG